rnacentral:lncRNA from 1 species
GUUGAUUUUUAAAAAUAUUUUUAUUUUAUGAGUGUUUGCAUAUAUGUAAUUGUAUCACUUGUGUGACUUUGGUCUUCGGAGGCCAGAAGAGAGAGUCCAAUCCUCUGCGACUAGAGUAACAGCCGUUUGUGAGCACCUGUGGGUACUGGGAACGAAGCCCGAAGAGAAGAAAGUGUUCUUAACUCUUGAGCCGUCUACCCAGACCCGGCUCUUGCUCUUUCUUUCUCCACAUUUAUUCUUUAGAUUUGAGCCAAGGGGAGCACUAUUCUUUUACAACUCAGACUUAGAGGAAGUACAUGCCAGCCUCUAAAACACCAAGUUUAAACAAUUUUCCGGGAAGAAAUGGUUCCAAGGGAAAUAAAUGUGCACUUCACUAAAUUACCACGUGGGGACAGCAGAGCCAGCCUUUACUGACUGCUCAUGGCUGCCGACUGAGCGAUCUGCAUUCACCUGGAAUGGAAAAGCACUUAAAACUGUGAAGGAGUCUGGCUGUAUGGAGCUCUUGCAGAUGCCUUUAUUGGCAGCUUCAACCCGUUGCUUCUGAGUUGCCAUGGCAACUGGAAGCCAAACCCGGGAAGGAGGGGCGACGGGGACUGUUUAUUGGUGAGUGAUAAGGAGCCAAAAGAAAAGACAGUUCUUUGAGGGAAGCCUGGGGGUUGUUGGGGGUGGAGCAGCGUGUUUAUGUAUUAGCAUAGGGUAAAUCCAGAUGCCUCUUGGCACUAUGGAUACACUAGCAGCUGAAAGCAGGGCAGACAGGAAGGCUACCUAGGAGCUUCCUGGCAUGGUUUCUUCUUCUUAAUUGCCGUAUCUCAGAGAUCUGAGUGAAUGACCAGGGGAGAGGUCUGAUGCUAGCAACUGUUCAGCACAAACACCUUCUAAAGUAUUAAUGGUGCCCAGUAGGAACUGGAGGAGUCGGCGCGAUCCUCUGAAAGCCAGGAAAUAGCGGGAGCCGCCUGUACCUGGAUAAAACCCACCCGGGAGGUGAGUGAGGUUUGCGUUUGAGCUGAAUUCCUGGGGACACUGCCAUAUGGCUUUUACCGACUGCCAUCCUCCACGCGGUAUGUACACCCCUCUUGGGCAGCAGCUAAAACCUGCAGAAGAUUGCGCUCUCGCUGGUACCUUAAAUCCCUGCCCCCACGAUCUGCUUGAACUCUUCACUGAGGUCUCCAAUCUACCUUUCCAGCCCGAAUUCCGGCCCCAAAGCUAGGGUUCUCCUUCCCUUUUCCCAAGCCACUUUCCCACUUCCCUGCUUUUUCCUCCCUAGAGUAGGAGGCUCCAGGGGACCACAGCUGACUCCUCCAGGCACAGAGGAUUGAGUCAUCCUGCAGGCGUCAGAGCGGGUAGGAACAGCUCCGCUGAUCUGUAUGCAGCUCCGACUCCCUCUCCAGUUCAGAGUUUGGGAGCCGUCUUGUUCGAAAGUAAAGAACAGAACACAGAUGGCUGGUAACAGGAUCCCACAGGGGCCUCCUUUCCCACUGAGUUCAUCCUGCUAAUCCUUUUACAGAAGAGAAAAUAAGUGGUAAAUGGAAAAAGGGAAAAAAGAC